UACGAGGGGUGCAAGCGUUGUUCGGAAUUACUGGGCGUAAAGGGAGCGUAGGCGGACAAUCAAGUCUACCGUUCAAUUCUGGGGCCCAACCCCAGGCUUGCGGUGGAGACUGAUUGUCUUGGAUUGGUCAGAGGUUGACGGAAUUCCUGGUGUAGCGGUGGAAUGCGUAGAGAUCAGGAAGAACACCAAUGGUGAAGACAGUCAACUGGGGCUUUAUCGACGCUGAGGCUCGAAAGCGUGGGGAGCAAACAGG
rnacentral:rRNA from 1 species